GAAAUGCGAUAACUAGUGUGAAUUGCAGAAUUCCGUGAAUCAUCGAGUCUUUGAACGCACAUUGCGCCCCCUGGUAUUCCGGGGGGCAUGCCUGUCCGAGCGUCAUUGCUGCCCAUCAAGCACGGCUUGUGUGUUGGGUCGUCGUCCCCUCUCCGGGGGGGACGGGCCCCAAAGGCAGCGGCGGCACCGCGUCCGAUCCUCGAGCGUAUGGGACUUUGUCACCCGCUCUGUAGGCCCGGCCGGCGCUUGCCGAACGCAAAUCAAUCUUUUCCAGGUUGACCUCGGAUCAGGUAGGGAUACCCGCUGAACUUAAGC
rnacentral:misc_RNA from 1 species